GCCCUUGCAUCAUACACUGUCUUUCUCUACCAACCAUCCUCUCACAAACCCCAUCUCUUUUUCAUUGACUUUGAUUUCAAUUGACUAAUUUCGUUUCACUGUCAAUUAGUAACAAACAACAGUUAGGAUGGAUGUCAUCUUAUUCACUUACCCGUUUUUGUUUAAACAACCCCAAAAUUCUCAUUCUUCUCGCAUCUGUCAUUCAGCGUUCUCUAACCCUAACCCUCACCAUCGGCGGAAGAUGCCAACGAUUUGAUCUGUAAUACAUUGCUACCCUAAGAGAAUAGAGUGCCUUGAUAAUGAUUAUGGUUUGAUUUUUCUUCUAGCAGUUGAGUACUUCAUUACUAGGAAUAAUGGCUUUUUAUUCCCAUUUGUGAAACCCUUUUCUUUAUUUUUGCAUCGUAGAUUCUUAGUGGGUUAAAGCUGUUCACAAGCUUGAACAAGAAUAAGGGUUUUUCUUUAACAUGAAGUAUUUCGAAGAGGAAGUGCACAAUGGAAACUGGGAUGAGGUUGAGAAAUAGCUUCCGGGUUUCACUAAAGUGGACGAUAAUCGCUAUUCGAUGAAGAUAUUUUUCGAGAUUAGAAAGCAAAAGUAUCUUGAAGCAUUGGAUAAGCAUGACAGGUCCAAAACUCUAGAAAUUCUUGUAAAAGAUCUUAAAGUGUUUGCUUCAUUUAAUGAAGAUCUUUUUAAGGAGAUAACUCAGUUAUUAACUUCAGAGAAUUUUAGGGAGAAUGAACAAUUAUCCAAAUAUGGAGAUACAAAAUCGGCUCGAGCUAUAAUGUUGGUUGAACUUAAGAAGUUAAUCGAAGCGAAGAAUCCUUUGUUUCGUGACAAAUUGCAGUUUCCAAACCUUAAGAAUUCAAUAUUAAGGACUCUCAUAAACCAAAGCUUUGUAAAAACCCGAGGCCAAAUCCCGAUAUCAAGACGUUAUUUGUUGACCAUUCACGUGGUCAACCGAAUGGUGCGCGUGCUCCAUCACAUGCGAAUAAUCCGCUUCUUGGAGAGCUGGCGACUUUCCUCCUUUGGGUGCACAUGGGCCGUUUCAAUCCGCACUGGCUCCGGUACCAACUCCACUUGUGGGUUGGAUGUCUAAUCCGCCAACCGUAUCUCAUCCAACGGUUUCCGAUAGUGUAAUUGGUUUCGAUAGUCCUAUUUCAGCCUCCUACUUAUGUGGACCCCCUUAACAUCAUUGUAAUGGCAUACCCUGCUCUUCCUCUUUGCCCUCUCGCCAUAAUCGAAGCCGAGCGAGGAACUACGGAUCUUCUUAAGCCGUGUUCGAAGUGUAUUUGAGAAGGUUGGUCUCCCAUAUAAUGAAUCGAUAGUAGUUAGUCACUGGUUGCCCUAAUGGCUGUGCUCGACCCUACAUGGACGAACUUGGAUUAGUUGGUAAUGGUCCUAAUAACUAUCAGAUCUGGCUUGGGGGAAUGCCAACACAAACUUCAUUAGCCAGAACCUUGAUGAACAAGGUUAAAAUCCAGGACCUUGAAAAGGUUUUCGAACCUUUAUUCUACAUCUGGAGAUUGAAGAGGAAAUCUAGAGAAUCAUUUGGCGACUUCACAAAUCGCGUGGCAAGACACAUAUCUGAAUAAAUUUUAGAGUGAAAUGGCAAAAUAGGUGAGUUAAUGGGUCAAAUUAGGUAUUACACAUAUCGUAUUGACUUGAAACAAUUUUUAUCCAAAGAUUUAUAAUUUUAAUCACUUUACAAAUUUAGAUCACUUAAAUAUAUUUCAAUGCUUUUGAAUAACGUGACAUAAGGGUUUGAAUCAUUUAAAGUACGGUUUGGCAACUUACGGCCCGUUUCCUUUUACUAACGGGUCAAAACAUAACUUGAAAAAGUCCAUAUUAGUAGAUGGAUCUAAUUUGCCUCUUUUAAUAUUAAAAACUCUGAAAUCUUUUUGUUCAAAAAAAAAAAAGAAUUUUUGUUAUAUUUCCAGGGGUUUGAUUUAGUAGUCCUCAACAUACUUACCCUAAUGCAACAACCUAUUUUUGUUAUUGGGGAAUAUUGUCAACACAUAUGACAACAAAAGACAAAGGUCAAAAAGCUGAAAUGAACAGUGACACACCAGGAAGUGUUCAACACUAACAACAAGCAAAUGUCAAUUAUAAGGGACAACAAACAUUAAUGUCUUAUGAAAACCCUUGCACCAAAAAGGUUAGUGUACUCUCCAAACACACGAAUCCAUACUCAUAUGCUCAAAAAAAGGCUUCUUAAAAACUGAAAACCCUUUGCACCAAAAAGUAUAGUACUUUUCAACACAGGAAUUCAAACUCAUAUGCUCAAAAAUAGGCUGCUCAAAGAUAGAGUAGUUGUCUUAUAUCCUCCACUCUAGAUAAUCCAUGAAACCAUUUGGACAAUCACACUUAACUCUAUUCUUCAUUCUCUCUUUUUUAACAAAUGUCUAAACCGGAUACCUCAUCUGCUUCUGCAAUGUCAAAACAAGGAUUGCUCAUCGGCUGCACCAUUGCCUUCAAUCAUACCUCCAUCCGAGAUUACUUUCUUGAAGGAUUUACAUCCUUCAAGGUUAGAUUUUACCAUCAAAAUCCGUGUCCUAAGAGAAUGGAAUCGAAUGAGUUUCAAAAAUGAGAACGAAAUUUAUGCUCUUGAGAUGUUGGUGGUUGAUGAAGAGGGUACUCGACGUCAAAUGACAAGGGUCUACUGUGAUAAUAAAAAAACCUACUCUUGGGGACAAUCUCUCUUUGUUUAAAUAUGUCGAUUGUCCUCACAAGAUAUGUCUUUAUUAUGAUUCUAAAGUCAUAAAAUGCAAUGAUUUUUUGGGUUAUGAUAAUGGGUUUUCAUUCACUCCAUUUUCUUCAAUUUUGGACAAAACAUCUCAGAAUACUCAACCGAUAGGUUAGUAUACACUUGUUCAAAUUCAAAUAAAAAUUUACAUACCUUUUCUUAAAUAUUUUGAUUUAUAACAAAUACUUCUUUUUGAAGAUGUUAUUGGAGAUGUUUGUGUUUGUUACGACACAGAAUCUUUCACCGGUAAAAAUGGGAAAGAAUCGGUUAAAAGAACGAUGCAACUUGAAGAUAAAGAGUUUGUCAUAUCUUUUAAUAUGUCUAUUUGAAUAUUAUUUUACAUAUAAUUGUUACUAAUUCAUUUAUUUUACAUAUAAAUGUUACUAAUUCAUUUGAAGGUGGGUGUUCCAAUAAUGCUACUUCGAAAUAUUGACAUGAAGAAUGGUUUGUGUAAUGGUACACGACUACGAGUACUUUAUCUUGGUGAUAAGGUGAUUGAAGCUGAGAUUAUAUCUGGUGCUAAUAUUGGUACAAGAACUUUCAUCCGCCGUCUUAGUUUGUCACCAUCUAAAAAGAAAAUCCCUAUCAAGUUCAAAAGAAGACAGUUUCCGGUUGCUGUUUCUUUUGCAAUGACUAUUAACAAAAGUCAGGGACAAUCAUUAUCCAAGGUUGGAUUGUAUCUCAAAGAUCCUGUUUUCUCACAUGGUCAACUUUAUGUGGCACUAUCAAGGGUUAAAAGUAGAGCCGGUUUAAAGAUGCCGCUAAUAGAUAAAGAUGGCCAUGCUACAAAUAAGACCACAAAUGUUGUAUACGAAGAAAUUUUUGGAAAUUUGUAGUCUUUUUUCUUCAUUUAUCAUUUAUUAAGGAAACUUUUGCCUUUAUUUUA